rnacentral:snRNA from 1 species
CAUUAUUAUUACUGAUCAGUAA